AUACAUGCAAGUCGAACGCACUUUCGUUGGAUGAAUUAGAGGUGCUUGCACCGAAGAUGAUUUUAGCUAUAAAGUGAGUGGCGAACGGGUGAGUAACACGUGGGUAACCUGCCCAGAAGUGGGGGAUAACACCUGGAAACAGAUGCUAAUACCGCAUAACAAAGUAAACCGCAUGGUUUACUUUUAAAAGAUGGCUUCGGCUAUCACUUCUGGAUGGACCCGCGGCGUAUUAGCUAGUUGGUGAGAUAAAGGCUCACCAAGGCAGUGAUACGUAGCCGACCUGAGAGGGUAAUCGGCCACAUUGGGACUGAGACACGGCCCAGACUCCUACGGGAGGCAGCAGUAGGGAAUCUUCCACAAUGGACGAAAGUCUGAUGGAGCAACGCCGCGUGAGUGAUGAAGGCUUUAGGGUCGUAAAACUCUGUUGUUGGAGAAGAACGUGUGUGAGAGUAACUGCUCAUGCAGUGACGGUAUCCAACCAGAAAGCCACGGCUAACUACGUGCCAGCAGCCGCGGUAAUACGUAGGUGGCAAGCGUUAUCCGGAUUUAUUGGGCGUAAAGCGAGCGCAGGCGGUCUUUUAAGUCUAAUGUGAAAGCCUUCGGCUUAACCGAAGAAGUGCAUUGGAAACUGGAAGACUUGAGUGCAGAAGAGGACAGUGGAACUCCAUGUGUAGCGGUGAAAUGCGUAGAUAUAUGGAAGAACACCAGUGGCGAAGGCGGCUGUCUGGUCUGUAACUGACGCUGAGGCUCGAAAGCAUGGGUAGCGAACAGGAUUAGAUACCCUGGUAGUCCAUGCCGUAAACGAUGAAUGCUAAGUGUUGGAGGGUUUCCGCCCUUCAGUGCUGCAGCUAACGCAUUAAGCAUUCCGCCUGGGGAGUACGACCGC
rnacentral:rRNA from 1 species